rnacentral:lncRNA from 1 species
GUUCCAAUUAAUGGUUUAUUUCCACCUGUAACACUAGCAGAGGAGUCCAAAACAGAGACAUACAUGGAUAUAGUUUAAAUGUAACAAAGAUUUGAACUAUGUACACUGAGGAUUUUCCAUUCCGACCCUUUCCUAUUUUGCAGUUUCUGAAUAUGCAGAAACUAAACAUUUUUUCCCAAGUUAAUUUAGUAUGAAGAAAUACAAUUGUUAUGCUCAACCAUUUGUUCGUAAGCAAAAAACAUAAGCGAUUUUGACUGGGUGGCUGUCUGGGCUCCUGAAGUCUGGGUACUGUUAGAACAUGAAGAGCGCUCCGCGGAGCCCAGAAGGAACCCAGGGGCAAUGAUGUCCAAUCCAAGGGCAGACACGACACAUCACAGUGAUGAGAACUCAGGUCUCGCCCUCGACUCCAAGUAGAAAAUAUUUCUUUCAUCAAAUGCACUGCAGUUAAGUCAGAAUGAAGAAUAAAACAACUUUCUUUCAUAGAGGGACACUCCUUUAGCCCCAUUUAAAGUGAAUUCUGUGCCGAGUCCUUGCUCCUCCAGGAUCAGCUGAAGGUCCGUUAUUGCAAAGCCAGAGGAGGCCCCUUCCACCGCGGAGACGCGACACGCAAAGGGCUGUUGAUUUGGCCCAGAGCCCUCUGAGGGAGGAGGGUGCGGAGGAGGGGCCCAUACUUUGCCAACUCAACCUAUGGAGCAAGCACAGCCCAAGGCUCAAGGCCAGAAGAGCAGCUUCUGAAAUGAAUGUCAGCUGGUGGGGGAGGUGCCCGUUCAGGUCUGGAGAGCCGAGCUCUGAGACACAGGGCAGUUGUGACUUGGGCGACAGCAUGGACACUGGCGGCUAAUAAGGCCACAAUUACGGCCACCACCGCCCAGGGUCUAUGCUUGAGUAGACACGAGGCAGUGGGAGCUGAGGCCCAGAGGGCAUGUGGUAAACACAGGUGGGUUUUAUCAGAAGAGGACACCCGACCACGCACCUGCCCAGGGACCUUACACGGCCUGUGCCAGGGAAACUCGGGCACGGGUGAAGUUCCUGAGAACAGGUGGCGAACAGGACGGGGCAAGAUGGGCACUGCUCCACAGGCGACGCGAGGCCUCCGAGGGACACUAACAGUGCCACAUCUCCUGGCUGCUGAAAAGUAGGCAAAGAACGGGCUUUAUUGCACAUUUCGUUCUUAGAAAACAGAUCGCCUGCAGAGGGCCUUGAGAGCUGCAGAAACCCCUGAUCACCGCAGGUGGAAUCACGGUGACCUCUGACUCUCAAGGGAAGAAGAGUCCAGCGGCUGGUCGCUCCGGGCUGUGCUGCACUUGGGAUCCUCGCGCCGGAUGGACCUUGUCUGCCUUGGUCACUGGGGUGGGCAGAUGCCUGGGACGAGGUAGCACGCCCACAGGAGCUGGCGGAGCAGCUUGCUCUCCGACCUGGGCCAGCCCCUCCACGACGCUGCCGGCAGGAAGCUGAGGCAAACGUCGCAGCAAAUGUGCGGGUU